UUGGUUACUCACACUUUCACCACAGAAUCCCUUUAUAUAAUCUUCAGACCAUCAGGGCUAAAGGCAUCAGCCUUAUAGAGGGUCGCCUGGGCAUCCCAGCCCUCAUAGGAUAAAAUAAAAUACUAUUAAUAAUACAAUUCAUCGGGCGCCCUUCCCCAUGUUCUGCCUUGAGGUAACAAAUUAACAAAUAAAGAAAGAAAACAAAGUUAUACACUUUGCUGCCCUCAGAGGUUUCAUCUUGCAGCCUACUUUGUUCACUGAAAGUGCGGGGAUGGGUUACCGUUUGAUGCUAAAAAUCCCCCGACUCAUUUGAAGUGCAGAGACCCCAAACACCAGGACAGCGUCUGGACACCAAGAGUACAGAACUCUCUCAGAGCUGCUCAGAGAGAUCUGCUCUGACUGUAAAACUGUACUUUUCAACGUUGUUGGACAUUUUCUUACAUUUAUUAUUUUGUUGAUAAGUGCUGCUAGCCUGGUUCCAGCGCCCAAAGUUGAACAUAUUUUAACUUUACUGGACGGUGAAAAAAGGCAGAGAGUGAGAGGCAGGCUUCAGGCACGAAGUUUAGAAAAUGGAGAAAACAGGAGGAGGAGGAAAGGAAAGCCUUGAUUUGUGGUGGCUAGCUAGCUACUCUGCAGCAGCAGCUACAGGUUCUGUUUGUGAUGUCAGGCUAACUUCAUCUACUCUAUAACUGUCCAGAUGGAGCUGCUGGAGAAGGGACAUCUGGUCCCUCAUCCACACGUCUCCUCUCUCCGGAGCUUCCUGCAGGUCUAGAGACAUCCAUCCCUCCAGCUCCCUCCAGUGAAACACAGCCUGCAGGUCUAGAGACAUCCAUCCCUCCAGCUCCCUCCAGUGAAACACAGCCUGCUGAAGAAACGACGCCACUAAUGUCCAGUGAAUCUCCUGCACCAACCGGGGACCAACAAGAACACACUUCAAGAACAAGUACCCCUGAUGUAACUAUGGAUGGUCAUGAUGAUGACCAGAGUCUGGAUGCCCUCGCCUACCGGUCUGGUACUGGACAGCUAGACAUUGAGAUGGGUCCAGUCCAAACACUGCCCAAAGAUCGUAACAGGAUUCUUUAAUAUCGCUGUUAGACCCAAGUUUCCCAUCGACCGUGAUUCACUAUUGAAGGGGAAUGACAUUACAGGAGACAAAGUAACGCAGUUCUAGAAAUUCUGUAUCAACAUGAAAGUGAAUCUGAUGGUUCAAACUCAGAAACUAGGGGAGGAAAUACACCAGUCUGAUUCCUUCCUGAUGCCAGCUUUCACAGGAGAAGAGGCGUGGUGUGUUUAACAUCAUUAUUUGAUCAAUCCUCACAUUAUUCUUCUAUGUAUGGUUCACGGAGCAAAGAGAAGCGAGGUGUUAAUAAAUAGUGUGAGGUGUGCUCUGUGAGGCGUCCUGGGGUAUGAUGGGUAACCUUGGCUUGGGUCCAAGCUCCACCUCUCUUGGGCGACCACCAAGGAAGACGAUAUUUUCUUUAUGAUAUAUUUUUUUACAACGUUACUAAAGUUACUAACUAUUUUGUAAACGAUGACACGUACAUAUUUCACCGAUGCAAGUAUCUUUUCUUGUUGUUUUUCUGCUAAACUUUUAGUAACAUCACUUUUUUGAAGGCUUUUGACCGUAAUCAUUUAGGGACUGAAAUUUAAAAUAACAGAUGCAAAACCUUUAAUGAAAAUAUCUACCAAUUUACUGCACUGUAUUUCAAUGAUGAUUUCUUAUUUACAUUUAAUGGAUUUUUUUUUUUUUUAAGUAAUUCCUGUACUUCUUUUUUACUUCUUUCCUUGAGUUGUUCAGGAAGCAUUUGGGGUGCUGGGAUUAGCAUUAAAUGGCCUUCUUUCAUGUGACAGUCAAACAUUGUUAGUUACAUACUAUUGUUUGUGAUGAAGUGGAGUUAGAGAGGGCUGGUUGUUGGGGUAUGCUUUUAUGAGAGCACACUAAUAAAGGGUUGAACAUUG